rnacentral:rRNA from 1 species
AUUCCUACGGGAGGCAGCAGUGGGGAAUAUUGGACAAUGGGGGGAACCCUGAUCCAGCCAUGCCGCGUGUGUGAAGAAGGUCUUAGGAUUGUAAAGCACUUUAAGUUGGGAGGAAGGGCAGUUAACUAAUAUUUGACUGUUUUGACGUUACCGACAGAAUAAGCACCGGCUAACUUCGUGCCAGCAGCCGCGGUAAUAAU